rnacentral:rRNA from 1 species
UGGGGAAUCUUCCGCAAUGGACGAAAGUCUGACGGAGCAACGCCGCGUGAGUGAAGAAGGUCUUCGGAUUGUAAAGCUCUGUCGUUUGGGACGAACGUGUUCUUUGUGAAUAAUGUAGAACAAUGACGGUACCAAAGGAGGAAGCCACGGCUAACUACGUGCCAGCAGCCGCGGUAAUACGUAGGUGGCAAGCGUUGUCCGGAAUUAUUGGGCGUAAAGGGCGUGUAGGUGGAUGCUUAAGUCGUGUGUCUAAGUGCGGGGCUCAACCCCGUAUAGGCGCAGGAAACUGGGUAUCUUGAGUGCAGGAGAGGAAAGUGGAAUUCCCAGUGUAGCGGUGAAAUGCGUAGAUAUUGGGAGGAACACCAGUGGCGAAGGCGACUUUCUGGACUGUGUCUGACACUGAGGCGCGAAAGCUAGGGGAGCGAACG